UAGUCUGGUGCCAGCAGCCGCGGUAAUUCCAGCUCCAACAGCGUAUAUUAAAGUUGUUGCAGUUAAAACGCUCGUAGUCGGAUUUCGGGGCGGGCGGGCCGGUCUGCCGAUGGGUAUGCACUGGUCUGGCCGUCCUUCCUUCCGGAGACCGUGCGUGCUCUUAACUGAGUGUGCUCGGGAGACGGAUCGUUUACUUUGAAAAAAUCAGAGUGUUUCAAGCAGGCAGCUCGCUCUUGCAUGGAUUAGCAUGGGAUAAUGAAAUAGGACUUUGGUGCUAUUUUGUUGGUUUCGAACACCGAAGUAAUGAUUAACAGGGACAGUCAGGGGCACUCGUAUUCCGCCGAGAGAGGUGAAAUUCUCAGACCAGCGGAAGACGAACCACUGCGAAAGCAUUUGCCAGGGAUGUUUUCACUGAUCAAGAACGAAAGUUAGGGGAUCGAAGACGAUCAGAUACCGUCGUAGUCUUAACCAUAAACCAUGCCGACUAGGGAUUGGAGGAUGUUCAAUACGUGACUCCUUCAGCACCUUUCGGGAAACUAAAGUCUUUGGGUUCCGGGGGGAGUAUGGUCGCAAGGCUGAAACUUAAAGGAAUUGACGGAAGGGCACCACCAGGAGUGGAGCCUGCGGCUUAAUUUGACUCAACACGGGGAAGCUUACCAGGUCCAGACAUUGUGAGGAUUGACAGAUUGAGAGCUCUUUCUUGAUUCGAUGGGUGGUGGU
rnacentral:rRNA from 1 species